ensembl:lncRNA
GCGCGCCGCGCGCCGUCGAGGUCCCCGCGUCGCCGCCCUCUGCCUUUCGUAACUCGGCGCGGGGUCUGGGUUUGCAGGGCUUUGAAAACGAGCCCCCGGCGCCUUGCGCCCUCUCUUCCGGCGCUCUGGCCGCAGAUUCGGGUAGCGCCGGCCACCGUGGACCAUUUUUCUUUUUUUCCUGCUUCGCGGCGUUCCAGGAUUUUCUCUUCCGGGUCGCUCUGAGGCACGGUCAGGGGUGCCAGCAUUCCUGGUUUGGCAUUGAACCCUCGGACUCUGCAAACACCUUUGAGGGGAAGCCCCCUUUUGCGCUUGCGCCGCGCCUCCCGCGGCCGGGAGCUAAGUCGGGCUGGCAGGGCCAGGUGGCACAUAAGCUCUGCCUCUGGGUUUCUAUUUGGCGUCAUCCGUGUGCAGAGGCGGCUGAGAUUUCGGCAACACAACAGCCUGGCCUUGACUGCAGCUCCAUCCCCAGCUCGAAUGGAGCUCUUACCCACCCCGACCCCAGCUACAGCAUCUGGUGGAUGGGAGGGGCUGGAAUCAUGCAAACUUGUGCAAGAAAACCAUCAUACAUCACAGCGCGUGUCCUCAUCUUUCAACAAACAUGUAGGUGAAGCCAUGUAUCCACCGGAAACACCGCCUUGGGCCUCAGUAAAACAACAGCUUUGGAGUUUCCUCUGUAGCACAGUGGGUUAAGGAUCUGGCAUUGCUGCAGCUGUGGUGUAGGUCACAGCUGCCGCUUGGAUUCACUCUCUGGCCCAGGAAAUUCCAUAUAGCACAGGCAUCUGAAAAAGAAAAAAAAAAGAUCCGAUGAUGGCUCAAGAGUCAAAUUUUAUUUUAUUUUAAUUUAAAAAAUUGUUUUGGCUACACCUGUGGUGUGUGGAAGUGCCCAGGCCGGGGAUCAAACUUGAGCCACAGCAGUACCCUGAGCCACAGCAGUGACCAUGCUGCAUCCUUAACCUCUAGGCCACCAGGGAACUCCCUGGAAUCAGAUUUUAUUAAUAGCUCUUUUCUACAAAGAUGGAAGGAAGGCCACAUCUGAACAUUCAUCUUCAUUUGACGUGUCUUUUUAUCUUCAAUGCUUUUAAAUUUAAAAGUAUCAAACUUAAUUUAUAAUGAGUGCACGCACACACACGGAACAAAAAAGCUAGAUCAGCCUCAGUGCAAAUCCACAGCAUCUUCAGAGAUCCCGUGUGACAGAUGUCAUGGGUGACUCAUACCCAUGAGUCACUUAGCUCGGCUGGUUGAGGUAUGGCAUGACGCAGCCCGCACCACAGAACACAUUUGUUCUUUUUGGUAAAUCCCUAAAAUUCCGAGCAGCUGUUUUGUUUCUGACACGUUCCAUCCUGAUUAUGGGGGGGAGAGAACGUGGCCGGUGUGUGUUUUGCUGCGAGUAGGACAACGUUGCUCUCUGCACAGGAGAGGGUGGCUCUCCCACUCAGCCCUCAGCUCGUGCUGAGAACUGGUCUCGCUUUGCUGGGUUCAGUGCUCGUUCCUCCUCAACGCCCGUCUUCUCCUGGGCACCGUCAGUGUCCCAGGGUCCGUGUGCAUAACCCAGCCAAGACUCGCCUUCUCAGUGAUUUCAUUUCUCAGCUCCAGAGUCAUUCAGCUCCGCCAAACAAGCAAACCCACAGCCACACUCUAAAAGCUGUCAUGGGAGUUCCCGUUGGGGCGCAGAGGAGAUGCAUCCAACUAGUGUCCAUGAGGAUUCAGGUUCCAUUCCUGGCCUUGCUCAGUGGGUUAAGGAUCCAGGGUUGCUGAGGCUGUGGUGUAGGCGGGCAGCUAUAGCCCCGAUUUAAGCUCUAGCCUGGGAACUUCCAUCUGCUGUGGGUGCAGCCCUAAAAAGCAGGGGGGAAAAAAGCUGUUGUGAUCCAGAGUGGCUUUCCUUCUGAAGGCUUCGUGUCUCUGACCCUGUUCUGUCCACAGAGCUUCUGUAGCCCCUUCCUCCCUACAAUUAUUCUUUGGUCGAAUUGAGUUGUUCCUGUCCUCUCAUCUCCCAGCCCUUCUCUGGCUUCUCCCUCCAUGUCCGAUGCUUUGUCCUAUUACUCCACCAAGACCACCUUGUCAAGGCAUUGUGACCUCCGUGACCUCCACGACCUCCAUGUAACCAAACCCAAUGGUCUGGUCUUAGUCGUGACCUUACUUGACCUUUUACCCCUGGUCCCCAUGCUUGCCCCUUUUUGGAAGGACAUUCCGUAUUUCACUUCUGAGACAUCACAGGUCCUUGAGUUUUGUCUCAUUGUCACCUGUUCUCAGUCUCCAUUCUUGGCCUCUCGAAGGUAGAGUGUGCUAGAACUCAGAGAUGGCCCUCUUUGUCAGUAUCUACACUACUCUCUAGGGAACGGCAUCUAAUCCGAUGGCUUUAACCACCAUCCACACGCUGAGAAACCCUCGUGUCUGACUGUAGCCCGGAUCUCAGUACUGAACCACAGGCUCUUACCUCCAGCUGCCUCGUCCACAUUUUCAUGGGGGUUUGAAUGAGCACCUCUAACUCAAGAAAGAGUCUAACUCCCAAUUCCUCUCCACCUCCACCCACCAGUCUUUCUCAGCACAGCAAAAUAGCAGUUUAUCUAUUUAUCUAUCUAAUAGUAACACAGGCCCCAAAAUCGCCAUCAUCUUUAUUCUUCUUUCUCUCAUACCCUCAUCCUCUUACUAGGAAGUUUACCUUUUAAAAUAUGUCCCCAAUUCAACCACUUCUUGUCAGAUCUUCCACUCACAAUAAAUUUGUUGGUCAAGGCACUCUUGUUGUAGUGCAGGGGGUUAAGAAUCUGACUUCGCGGAGUUCCCGGUGUGGCUCAGCAGUAACGAACCCAACUAGUAUCCUUGAGGAUGCAGGUUUGACCUCUGGCCUCGCUCAGUGAGCUAAGGAUCCGGCGUUGAUGUGAGCUGUGGUGUAGUUCACAGAUGCGGCUUGAAUCCUACAUUGCUGUGGCUGUGGUGUAGACCAGCAGCUGCAGCUCCGAUUCUACCCUUAGCCUGGGAACUUCCAUGUGCCAUGGGUGUGGCCAAUAAAUAUAAAUAAAUAAAUAAAUAAAUAAAUAAAUAAAAUUUGUUGCUCAAAGCCAACAAAUUUCUCAUCUAGAUUAUUGCCGAAAUCUUUAAACUGAUUACUCUGUUGCUAUCAUUGCCCCUUGCAGUAUAUGCAAACAGCUCAUUGAGUGUUCCUUUUAAAAUACAAAUCCAUUCGUGUCCCUUUUUUACUUAAAAGUCUCCAAUAGAUAGAACUUAAUACUGAGCAUUAAAACUAAAAUUACAUUCCCUCCUGUAUAGCAGGAAUUGACAGAACAUUGUAAAUCAACUAUAAUGAAAAAUAAAAUAAAAUACAAUUACAUUGCUUCUAGAAUCAAAUAUAGGAAAAUAUCUUUAUGACUUUGGUAGAGGCAAAAGUUAUUUACAGCAAGCACCAAAGGCUCUACCCAACAAAGAGAAAAUAAUCGUAAAUAGUACUGUAUCAAAAUUAAAAACUUCUGCCCAUGAAAACACUUUUAAAAAUAUGCUACAGAUGGAGAAAAUACAUUCAUCACACUUCUCUGACAAAGGAUGUGAAUUCAGAAUGUAUAAAGAACUCUUACUACUCAAUACUAAAAAGACAACGAAUCUAAUUUAAAUAUUGGAACAGACACGCGCAAAAGGAAAAAUGUAAGUGGCCCAUUGGUACACCGGCAGGACUCUAUAUCUUCAAUAAUCAAGGAAAUUCACAUAUUUUCCCACAGUGGGUGGCUGUCUCUUCAUUCUAUUAAUUUUUUUUUUCUUUUUAGGGCCACACCUGUAGCAUAUGGAAGUUCCUGGGCUAGAAUUUGAGGAAUAUUUAACACAGCCAGUGAUGGCUACCAUGCAAUGCAAUUAGCAUCUGGAGUGGAAACUUCCUCACUUUUUAGGAUGGCUGCAUCUUUUUAGAUGGACUAUAUAGGGUUUUUUUUUUUUUUUCAGCUUAAUUGAGAGAGAAUUGACAUUGAGCAUUUGUUAGUUUCGCUGAGGGAGGAAUGCACAAGACCAAGUGGGGUAAAGAAAGAGAGAUAUAUUAAAGCAUCAGAGAGGACAGGCUGAGCUCAGGAUGACGCCAGCCCUGACCGUGAGGAGGUGCUGGGCUUAUGAAGCGUGUGUAGCUGCAGUUCAGGUAUGAACGACGAAGGAGGAGGGGAAGGUCAAGGGAGGGGCAGGGGGUCGAGUCCCGUGACAGAGGGCAGUCCAUCCGUGCAGGCGGUGAACCUAUUCAGGCAGUGGUUUUCCACGACCCAGCUUGAGCUUCCACGUUCCGGGGAAGGGCAUGGCUCUUGUGCUGGGCUGUACUCAUGGCCACAACAGGUGUCCAAGCUGAACAGCUGCAUUUGGGGGUAGGGGUCUGUCUCCAUCCUCCUGGGGAUCUAUCAGUUUUGUAUCUGUUUAUGAUGUGCAGUGUGUUGAUCUGAUGCACAUAUAUUAAGGAAUGGUCACUCCAGUCGGGUUUGUUUACUCUCCUCUCACUUCAUAGAAUUACCAGUUUCCCUCCCUCCCUCUUGUCUUUUUAGGGCUGUACCCAUGGCAAAUGGAGGGUCCCAGGCUAGGGGGUCAAAUCAGAGCUACAGAUGCCAGGCUACACCACAGCCACAGCAACGCAAAAUGUGAGCUUCUGAGCUGAGUCUGCGACUUAUACCACAGCUCAUGGCAAUGCCAGAUCCUUAACCCACUGAGUGAGGCCAGGGAUCAAACCCACAUCCUCAUGCAUACUAGUUGGGUUCAUUACUGUGGAGCCACUAUGGGAACUCCCAACACAAUUCUCAUAUCUUUUGCGAUGAGAACACUGCAGAUCUACUCUCCCAGCAAAUUUCGAGGACACGGUGCAGUGGUUAACCACAAUCACAAUAGACGCCCAGACUUACUCACCUCAUAACAUAAUCACAAUAGACGCCCAGACUUACUCAUCUCAUAAGAAAGUUUGUGUUCUUUGACCAACAUGGCUGCAUCCAUGGCAAAAGGACCAUCGACUCCCUGUUUCCAUGAGUUUGGCUUUUUUAGAUUCCAUGUAAAAGUCAGAUGAUAGAUACAGUAGUUGUCUUUCUCUGACUUAUUUUGCUUAGCACAAUGCCCUUAAUUUCAUCCAUCUUGUCGCAAAUGGCAGGAUUCCCUUCUUUCUCAUGGCUUAAUUACAUUCUGUUAUGAGAAAGAAGCAAAUUCUGCAUGUAUAAUUUCAUAUAUAGUAUAUAAUGCAUAUAACUCACAUGCAUAUAUCAUAUAUGUGCAUGUGCCUGUCACCUGUUCUCUACUCAUUCACCUGUAGACAUCCACUUUGACUGGUAGGUUGUUUCUGCAUCUCGAGUAUUGUGAAUAAUGCUGCAAUAAUCAUGGGAGGGCAGAUAUCUCUUCCAUAUCUUGUUUCCUUUCCUUUGGAUCAUGUGAUAGUUCCAUAUGGUAACUCUAUUUGUAAUUUUUUGAGGACUCUCCAUACUGUUUUCCACAGUGGCUGUGCCAGUUUGCAUUCCCUCCAAGAGGGUACAAGCGUUCCCUUUUCUCUCCGUCCUUGGUAACACUUGUCGCCCCUUGCGUUGAUAGCCAUUCUAGCAGGUGUGAUGUAAUAUCUCAUGGUGGGUUUCCUGUUCAAAGUUUUUUUGGCUGCACUUGUGGCAUAUGGAGGUUCCCAGGCUUGGGGUAGCAUCAGAGCUACAGCUGCCUGCCUGUGCCACAGUCACAGCAACGCCAGAUCCAAGCCGCAUCUGCAACCUACACUGCAGCUUGAGGCAUGAAGCAAAUCCUUAACCCAUGGAGCAAGGCCUGGGAUGGAACUCGCAUCCUCAUGGAUACUAGUCAGGUUUGUUUCCACUGAGCCACAACAGGAACUCGCUCGUGAUGGUUUCGAUAUGCAUUUUUCAGGUGAUUAGUGAUAUGGAGCAUCUUUUCGUGUAACUUUGGUCAUCUGCGUGCAGUUUUUGGAAAAAUAUCCAUUCAGACCUUCCUCCCAUUUUAAAAUAGAACUGUUUGUUUGUUUUUGCUAUUGGGUUACAUGUCUUCCCUAUAUUUCUUUAAUAUUACCCCGAUCAGAUAUGUGAUUUUUAGAUAUAUUUUUCCAUUUAAUAAAGUUGUCUUUUAAUUUUGUUGAUAGUUUUUUUUACCUUAUAAAAGCUUUCUAGUUUGAUACAGUACACAUGUUUGUUUUUGCUUUUUUUGCCUCUGUUUUUGCUGUCAAGUCCAAAAAAUCAUAACCAAGACUGGUAUCAAGGAGCUUACUGCCUAUAUUUUAUUUUAGGAGUUUUAUGGUUUCAGGUCUUAACGUUCACGUUUUUAAUCCAUCUUGAGCUAAUUUUUGUGUCGCGUGUAGGACAGUCGUCCAAUUUCUGUUCGGUUUUUCCCAACCUCUUUUAUUAAAGAGACUGUCUUUUUCCUACC